GUUUUUGGUGUUUUUU
rnacentral:sRNA from 1 species